UUUAAAAGUUUUCUUGUUAAGAGCGGUGGAAGCUUUCUUAAGUUACUUGUGUGAACUUACCCUAGAGCAAGAAUCAAAUAUAAAGCAAGAAUAAAUACGAGAACAAGCAUAACACAAACAAGACAAUGUAUAGUGGUUCGGUAUACCUCAAGCACCUACGUCCACUCCUCAAGCCUUUUCUUGGGAAUUCACAAUAAUCCCUCGGAUUACAGUUGGAUUGUUUUCCGGGCUCACAAUCCAAAAACCUUUACACUUUGGUUUUUCGGGAUCACCAAAAACCUAUGUUGGUUUUACGGGCUCACCAACAAACCUUCACAAUUGGUUUUACAGGUUCAAUAACAACCUACGUUGGUUUUACGGGCUUACCAACAACCUACGUUGGUUUUACGGGCUCACCAACGAACCUUCACAAUUGGUUUUACGGGUUCAUCAACAACCUACGUUGGUUUUACGGGCUUACCAACAACCUACAUUGGUUUUACGGACUUACCAACAACCUACGUUGGUUUUACGGGCUUACC
rnacentral:lncRNA from 1 species